rnacentral:rRNA from 1 species
CCUACGGGUGGCAGCAGUGGGGAAUAUUGCACAAUGGGCGAAAGCCUGAUGCAGCAACGCCGCGUGAGUGAUGAAGGCCUUCUGGUCGUUAAACUCUGUUCUCAAGGAAGAUAAUGACGGUACUUGAGGAGUAUUCCACGGCUAACUACGUGCCAGCAGCCGCGGUAAUACGCAGGGGGCUAGCGUUAUCCGGAUUUACGGGGCGUAAGGGGUGCGUAGGCGGUCUUUCAAGUCAGGAGUAAAAGGCUACGGCUCAACCGUAGUAAGCUCUUGACACUGGGAGACUUGAGUGCAGGAGAGGAGAGUGGAAUUCCUAGUGUAGCGGUGAAAUGCGUAGAUAUUAGGAGGAACACCAGUUGCGAAGGCGGCUCUCUGGACUGUAACUGACGCUGAGGCACGAAAGCGUGGGGAGCAAACAGGAUUAGAUACCCGGGUAGUC